ensembl:lncRNA
GGGCACCCAACUGGGAUGGUCCCAGUAUGAACAGCACACAACUGGGACGGUCCCAGUAUGAUGAGAACCUAACUGGGAGGGUCCCAGUAUAACGGGCGCCCAACUGGGAGGGUCCCAGUAUGGUGGGCACCCAACUGGAAGAGUCCCAGUAUGAACAGCACCCAACUGGGAGGACCCCAGUCUAGUGGGCGCCCAACUGGGAUGAUCCCAGUAUAAUGGGUACCCAACUGGGAUGGUCCCAGUAUGAACAGCACCCAACUGGGAUGGUCCCAGUAUGGUGGGCACCCAACUGGGAGGGCCCCAGUAUAACGGGCGCCCAACUGGGAUGAUCCCAGUAUGGUGGGCAUCCAACUGGGAGGGUCCCAGUAUGGUGGAUGCUCUACUGGGAGGGUCCCAGUAUGGUGGACACCCAACUGGGAGGGUCCCAGUAUGGUCAGUACCCAACUGGGAGGAUCCCAGUAUGAUGAGAACCUAACUGGGAGGGUCCCAGUAUGGUGGGCCCCCAACUGGGAGGGUCCCAGUAUGGUGGGUGCUCUACUGGGAGGGUCCCAGCAUGGUGGACACCCAACAGGGAGGGUCCCAGUAUGGUCAGCACCCAACUGGAGGGUCCCAGUAUGAUGAGAACCUAACUGGGAGGAUCCCAGUAUAACGGGCACCCAACUGGAAUGGUCCCAGUAUGGUGGGCGCCCAACUGGGAUGGUCCCAGUAUGAACAGCACCCAACUGGGCGGAUCCCGGUGUGAUGAGAACCAAACUGGGAGGGUCCCAGUAUAACGGGCGCCCAACUGGGAGGGUCCCAGUCUGGCGGGCGCCCAAGUGUGACGCUGGCACUCACCCGGUGGCCGCGCUGUCCCCGUUGCUGGUGGCCUCCAGCCGUGCCCUCUUGCCCCCAGGUCCUGGCAGAUCACCGUGCCGCUUCGGUGGCCCCUCUGGGGACGUGGAGGGGACGCCAUGAUGGGUGACACCGUGAUGGGUGACACCGUGAUGGGUGACGCCGUGAUGGGGGACACCGUGAUGGGUGACGCCAUGUUGGGUGAUGUCAUGUUGGGUGAUGCCAUGAUGGGUGACACCGUGAUGGGUGACGGUGGUGACACCAUGAUGGGUGACGCCAUGUUGGGUGACACCAUGAUGGGUGACACCGUGAUGGGUGACGCCGUGAUGGGUGACGUUGGUGACACCAUGAUGGGUGACGCCGUGUUCGGUGACACCGUGAUGGCUGACACUGGUGACGCCAUGAUGGGUGACGCCGUGUUGGGUGAUGCCAUGUUGGGUGACACCGUGUUGGGUGACAUUGGUGACAUCGCCGUAGCUCGGGGUGCCAUUCAGGUGGGUGGCACUGCCAUCCACGGUGGUCCCACGGGUGACAUCGUGAUGGGUGACACCUCCACAGGCCCCAUGGCCAUCAGUGACGUGGUUAUGGGUGACAUCUCCACGGGUGACACCUCCACGGGUGACACCUCCAUGGGUGACACCUCCACCGGUUCUGUGCCCAUCACCGACGUGGUUCUGGGUGACGUCUCCCCAGGUGACACUUCCACAGGUGACAUCUCCCUGGUUCUGGGUGGCACCUCCACGGGUGACACCUCCGUGGGUGACAUCACCCCAGGAGGCACCUCCCCAGGUGACAUCUCUGUGGCUCUGGGUGACAUUUCCACGGGUGACGCUCCCCCAGGUGACAUCCCCAUGGUUGACAUCUUCGUGGUUCCAGGUGACACCUCCGUGGGUGACACCUCCGUGGGUGACACCUCCAUGGCUCUGGGUGACACCUCCGUGGUUCUGGGUGACAUCUUCAUGGGUGACAUCUCUGUGGGUGACCUCUCCAUGGUUGACACCACCGUGGGUGACACCUCCACGACUCCAGGUGACAUCUCCGUGGUUCUGGGUGACAUCUCCAUGGGUGCCACCUCCAUGGGUGCCACCUCCGUUGGUGACAUCUUCAUGACCAACGCCUCCAUGGGUGCCACCUCCAUGGCUCCAGAUGCCACCUCCAUGGGUGACAUCUCCAUGGGUGCCACCUCCGUGGUUCCAGGUGCCACCUCCGUGGGUGCCACCCCCACGGUUCCAGGUGUCACCUCCACGGGUGCCACCCCCACGGCUCCGGCUGCCCCCCCCGCCACCCCCACCCCGUGUCCCCACCGCUUGUCCCCUGCCGUCCCCUCCGGCCCCCCAGGCGCUGUCCCCGUUGGCGCCGGGCGCCAUGCCGCCUUUGGCGCCCGCCAUGUUGCGCAGGACGAACUCCACGAUGUCGGACGGGAGGUCCUCGGUGUCACCUCCUUGUCCCCCCUGUCCCUUGUCCCCAUCGUCCACCCCGUCCAGCUGCUGGAUGUGGGGCUGCUCGGUGCCGUGGGGCGGAGCCGUGGGGCGCAGGGAUGAGCUCAGCAUGGCGCGGCCGUGGCGGGCGCUGCGCCGGCCACCAUCGGCCUUGGGGACACCCAUGGGGACACCCAUGGGGACAUCCAUGGGGACAUCCACGGGGACACCUCCUGGGGACAGCAGCUCUGAUGGUGGCACUGUUGGUGGCCACGGUUCCAUUGGGGGUGGCUUCCUCGGGGCUGGCGUUGGCCCGUUGGGUGGCACUGGCCCGUUGGGUGACGUUGAUGACCCGUAGGGUGACGUUGGUGGCCCGUUGGGUGACAGUGACCCGUUGGGUGACACUGGUGGCCCACUGGGUGACAUUGGCCCAUUGGGUGGCACUGGUGGCCUGUGCGGCCUGUUGGGUGACGUUGAUGACCUGUUGGGUGACACUGGUGGCCCGUUGGAUGGCGCUGGUGGCCCGCUGGGUGACACUGGCCUACUGGGUGGCAUUGAUGACCUGUUGGGUGGCAUUGAUGACCUGCUGGGUGACACUGGCCCGUUGGGUGGCACUGGUGGCCCGCUGGAUGACACCGACGGCCCACUGGGUGACAUCGGUGGCCCAUUGGGUGACACUGGCCCAUUCGGUGACACUUGUAGUCCACCGGGUGACAUCGGCGGCCCAUUGGGUGACAUCUGUCCCAAGAGCAACGGUGGCCCAUUGGAUGACACCGGUGGCCCGCUGGGUGACGCUGGUGGCCCACUGGGUGACGCUGGUGGCCCAUUGAGUGACAUCUGUCCCAAGAGCGACGGUGGCCCGUUGGAUGACACCGGUGGCCCGCUGGGUGAGCCUGGUAGCCCAUAGGGCGACACCGGCGGCCCGUGAGGCGACAUCUGUCCCAAGAGCGACGGCGGCCCGUUGGGUGACGUCGGUGGCCCACCGGAUGACGUUGGUGGCCCAUGGGGUGACAUCUGUCCCACGUCGGGUGACGGUGGCUGCGGGCGGACGUUGGGGACGCGGCG